GGGCAUAUAAUUAAUGUUGCAGGAUUGAACUAUGAUCAGCAUUAAUUAUGGACGUAUACAUCACAAAAAAUUAAUGAUAAUUAUGGAAAGGUAUAGUCUGAAAUUUCAAAAUAUAUUUUAAAAAUUGACAUUAAUCAUAAAAUCCUCACACAUAUAGAUAAAACAGUUAAUGCAGUAUCAAAAAUGAUUUAGGCUAGUUUUGAACCAAUAAGUCACACAUAUCGGGAUAAAACAGUUAACGCAGUCGCACGCUGGUUUGUCUUAAUUUAAAAAAAUUCGCAUUUGUGUGUUUUUGUGUUAAUUUUUUUAUGGAUUAUUGAUUUGUCUCGACGAGAGGAAUCGAAAAAAUAAAAAAUUAUGAUCGAUACUCAUAAUUUUUUGAAUAGACUUAUUUUUGUUUUUAUUCAAAAAAUUUCAAAAUUAUGAUCAUAAAUUUUUUUUACCUUUUCAAUUCCUCUAGCCGAAAACAAUCAAUAAUCCACAAAAAUUUGACACAAAACUAACAAAUACAAUUUUUUUAAGUGACUUAAUCGUCCAAAACCAGCCUAAUACAAGAAAAGUUGAACCAAUAUAAACAUUUUAUCUUUGAUAUUUUUGAUUUUUUAAUAGCCCUUUUCAUAGCUUUUUAAAAUGUAAAAACUUCUUUCCCAAAAUUGCAACAUAAUAAGGGAAACGUGUAACUAAGGGCAUCUCCAAGAGAAAGAACAAAAAAAAUUGUGUAUCAAAAUGUUAACUUUGUUGAUACAUGCAGUUGGCAAGUUGAAGAAUCAGUACUCUUACAAUCGCAUCUAAAUUACUCAUAUACUAUAAUUCUUAUAUCUAUUCAGUGUUCACUAGCAUUUUUCUUUAACAAGAAUAAUCAUUAAAACAAAUUUAAAAUUUAAAAGCAAGGCCGCCGAUGAACAAGAGUACUGGGAAUAUUGGUUUAGCUAGGUUAUAUCAAGCCAAAGGCAAAGACAAGAAGUAAGGGGAUCAUUACUACAAAGAGUUUGGUCUUGGCAUGGGGUUCGAAAACAGAACACACAAGGAGAGAGAGAGAGAGAGAGAGAGAGAGAGAGAGAGAGAGAGAGAGAGAGAGAGAGAGAGAGAGAGA